rnacentral:lncRNA from 1 species
GUCCUGAAAUGGAGUAUUUUUUAAUCAACAGCAUUGUCUUUAAUUAGUAAUAAAUAAAGUUGAAUUCUUUGAUUCGCUGUUUUACGUCAUGUCCGCUAACAAAUUAAAAACUUAACCUAUGCGUCUUAUGUUAAGUCCAGACUUUUAGUAUUCGUAUUGUCAUCUUAGAAAGUCUUACUGGUUAAAAUACUACAAUAGGGAAA